GACCCCGUAGCUCAGCUGGAUAGAGCAGCAGCCUUCUAAGCUGCCGGCCGUUGGUUCGAAUCCAACCGGGGUCG
rnacentral:tRNA from 1 species